rnacentral:rRNA from 1 species
AAUGAACGCUGGCGGCAGGCUUAACACAUGCAAGUCGAGCGGAGCGAGGGUGCUUGCACCUUAGCUUAGCGGCGGACGGGUGAGUAAUGCUUAGGAAUCUGCCUAUUAGUGGGGGACAACAUUCCGAAAGGAAUGCUAAUACCGCAUACGCCCUACGGGGGAAAGCAGGGGAUCUUCGGACCUUGCGCUAUUAGAUGAGCCUAAGUCGGAUUAGCUAGUUGGUGGGGUAAAGGCCUACCAAGGCGACGAUCUGUAGCGGGUCUGAGAGGAUGAUCCGCCACACUGGGACUGAGACACGGCCCAGACUCCUACGGGAGGCAGCAGUGGGGAAUAUUGGACAAUGGGCGGAAGCCUGAUCCAGCCAUGCCGCGUGUGUGAAGAAGGCCUUUUGGUUGUAAAGCACUUUAAGCGAGGAGGAGGCUACUUAGAUUAAUACUCUGGGAUAGUGGACGUUACUCGCAGAAUAAGCACCGGCUAACUCUGUGCCAGCCGCCGCCGUAAAAC